UCAGCACUGGAAAACGUUUUCAGGAGCACUCUGGUCAUCCUGCUGCUGUGGUCUGAUCAUGUGACUAGCCCGCCUGCGUUCUGCCCCUCAUCGCCUUCCUCUCCCUGCCUCAAACCCAGAAAGCCCUAGAGGAAAUAAGCCAACGCCUUUGGGAGUUUUUACCUGGACACUUAUCAGAGUGAGCCGCAGUUGUAGGAUUUUGAUAAUAUGUGCUCUUCGUGACGGUUUUGAAGAUUCCCGCAUAUAAAUGAAUGGACAGAAAUGGAAGGCGUUUUGGAUAUCAAUGUCAUCUGAUGCUUUGACCUCCAUCUAAGUCGUUCAGCAAGAUGAACAACACAGUCAUCUAGAAUCAAAAGGCCUUGCCGUUACUUUGAUGAAAGCCCACACUGACGCUGACGACCCUGCAGAGUUCGUUUCCCCCUCACUGAGCUGCAGUCACAGCUUGGGGGAACUACACCAGAAAGGCGUUCACAAUGCUAAUUAGGAAGACAGUUGAUAUCCAUGUUCCAUGUUUGGCUCUCAUUUUGGCCUCUUGUUUACCCAGAUAUAUUGGAAAAGCUUUGGAAAGAGGAAAUAUCCAUUUGCAUUGCCUUUCCAUUCAAUGUUUUGCUAUAGAGUCUGAUGUGCUUUAAUAAACAUUUGUCAACGUUUCUCAUUU